ACGAGAAAGUGGAGCAAUCCAUGAGUAAAGUGGCGACCGGGUGAGUAACACGUGACUAACCUACCUCCGAGUGGGGAAUAACUCCGGGAAACCGGGGCUAAUACCGCAUAACAUCGCAAGAUCAAAGCAGCAAUGCGCUUGGAGAGGGGGUCGCGGCUGAUUAGCUCGUUGGCGGGGUAACGGCCCACCAAGGCGAAGAUCGGUAUCCGGCCUGAGAGGGCGCACGGACACACUGGAACUGAAACACGGUCCAGACUCCUACGGGAGGCAGCAGUGGGGAAUUUUGCGCAAUGGGGGAAACCCUGACGCAGCAACGCCGCGUGGAGGAUGAAGCCCUUUGGGGCGUAAACUCCUUUCGACUCGGACGAUAAUGACGGUACGAGUGGGAGAAGCACCGGCUAACUCUGUGCCAGCAGCCGCGGUAAUACAGAGGGUGCGAGCGUUGUUCGGAAUUAUUGGGCGUACAGGGCGCGUAGGCGGUGCGGUAAGUCACCUGUGAAAUCUCCCGGCUUAACUGGGAGC
rnacentral:rRNA from 1 species